rnacentral:rRNA from 1 species
GGCGACCGGGUGAGUAACACCGUGACCAACCUACCCUCGAGUGGGGAAUAACUCCGGGAAACCGGAGCUAAAUACCGCAUAACAUCGCAAGAUCAAAGCCGCAAGGCGGCUUGAGGAGGGGGUCGCGGCUGAUUAGCUAGUUGGUAGGGUAAUGGCCUACCAAGGCGAAGAUCGGUAGCCGGCCUGAGAGGGCGCACGGCCACACUGGAACUGAAACACGGUCCAGACUCCUACGGGAGGCAGCAGUGGGGAAUUUUGCGCAAUGGGGGAAACCCUGACGCAGCAACGCCGCGUGGAGGAUGAAGUCCCUUGGGACGUAAACUCCUUUCGACCGGGACGAUACUGACGGUACCGGAAGAAGAAGCACCGGCUAACUCUGUGCCAGGAGCCGGGG